GCGAACAAUCCUCAUGCGCGCCGCCUUCUUCACACUGCACUAUUGUUUAACGUAAAAAAAAACCUCCAAACCCCGUAACCAAAAGGGGGCAUUAAUAUAUUUCAUACGAAUAUAAUAUAUUUGUAAAAAAAAAAGCACAAUUGUCAUCAUUGCCCUCCUUUUUUUGGCGUGACCUGUAUGGGGGUAAAGGUGGCUUCUCUGUGUUUGAGGGCACUCACACUGAGAGAGAAUGAAUGUAGCGCGAGCUGGUGAGCCCUUUAGCUACAAUGCGCAUCAAGCAGCGAACAUUCAAAACAUUAGCAUUAUUUUGCGUUCUGUAUUUGUGCCACUGUAUUGGAUGGGCAAAAACGGGAUGGGUUGGGGGGGGGGGAGAUUCUCAGUUGAGUUGCAAAAAUCUGUCAUUUCCCAGCAAACUGUUAAAAAAUGAUAAAUGAUAUGCCUUUGUGCGCGGCUAAAUACCUUUAAUGUCUGAUAAUUAUCGCUAUUUGAGAGCUGACGUCGACGAGAAGAUUGUCCGCUAUUUGUAAUUAUCUGCAUUUUUCCAAAUUGCCCACAAUUUUGAAUGCUGUACAAGUUCUCGACUGCGCCAAUUUCAUCAGUCUAAUGAAGGGCUAACACGCGCUCUGAUAAAGCCAUCUCGCAUAGAAUAUAUAAGCGGAAACGAGGCAGUAGGAAAAACACGUUUUCACACCUGCGACACGAAUCCCGGUCGCGCCACAAGCCGGUCGCGACGCGAGACGAGAGGGAAACUGCUAGGAACCGCGUGUUACACACACACACGUGUGUUACACACGUGUGCGCAGUGCGCGCGCGUGCGUUUAUCUGAGCUGAGAAAUCCCAGCCAAGGCCUUUUGGGAUGUUCAACAACAACCAGCCCCGGGUUCCUGCGCGGAGCUCGUAAACGUUUCCAGGUUCGAGGCGCCAACCGAGGGGGCCCUUUUGCCUCCCCCUCCGGAGCGAAUGUCUGCCACGAGGAUUGCGGAGACGGCAAAUGUCGCGGAGCCGCAGCGGAGGUAAGAACCCGCGCCUGCCAUUCUCUGUGGACAUCGUGUCUGAUGAGACAAGAGGCGUCUUUGUUCAGGAGGCCCGGUCGCCUUGCUGAGCCGAGGAGGGCAAGCGACAGCGCGAGGAGGGGGUGCAAAGGAGCGCUGGGACCCGGUCGAGGCUCCGCUACGAUAAAUACGUCUCAAGUCGGCGCGUCGGCGAUACGCCGACGCGCAGGUUGAUGCCUUUCUAUACCCGAACGUGCGCGGCACAGACUUUGAAAUGAUCCCACGGGGACGGAGAGGCUGUCAAGUACGAGGGCAAAGGUCAGGCUCCGGCUAUAAAUCUCCACACAACGGCGUUCAUCAGCGGUUAUUGAAAUCCUCGGCGUAACUUUUUUUUCUUGAAAACAACCCCACCGAGAGGCUCCACGUGUGGCGACACAGCGGCACGCAACACUGCACAGGCCAGCCGCGUACCUGCCAGCAAUUUGACAAACAUUGGUCCCAUGUGUGUGUGUGUGCGCGCGACGGCGGCGGCGGCGUGGUGCCCUGAUCUGAUGUGAGUUACGAGGUGCACGGUGCCGAACGUUG